CUCCGUUACAUGUUCAUUUUCUCAGUUUUUGGACAAAAACCUCAAAGACCGACUGCUUGAGCGUCAUCACAGCCACUAGGGGGCAUAUUUGCGUACGAGGUGAGAAUUGCUAUGAUGUCCUGCGAUGCCCGACCAGCAUUCUCGUCCUCUGUUCAUUUAAGUCUUUGUUUGGCACUUCUGCAUUUCUCUGCACUCUCUCGCAUUUUGGAGGGCAUAGCAAAUUCUAACGUUUAAGGUACCAGGUUGCUAACGUUAGCUAACAUGCUAACGGGACAUGGGUUAGUCGUAGAACUGUAAGCCAUUCAAUUGAGUUGGAAUUGUCAUCGUUGAAGUCCUCACCUGUAAUGUUUUUCACUGCUGUCAUCAAUGUAGACAAAUAAUAUAAAAUAUAUUCUCCUCUUUCCUCUCCGAUGGCAGUGAACUUUGCGGGCGGUCACGACGAGAAUCUAACGUCUUCCUCGAGAAUAACCGGAAGUGGAUAUGAUGGAAAAUUUUACUGACUCAGUUACAUAAAAUUGACCCUGUGAUAUUGAUAUAUGUGGAAUGUAGCACAAUAUUUGCCACUGUACUUAUUUGAAUAUAUGCAUUGUUCGUCACUAGAAGAGGCGGAACAUUGAUCGUGACGUCACGAAGCACCGGAAUACCAGGACUUGGCAAAUUCGAACCAGCGUCACGUGAUUGGCGGAAGCAGCCAAGUGCGUUUGUGUUUGUUCUUUUACCAACAGUUUCGAUAAGUAAACAUUUCUAGCAGGGGUGGGCUAUACUGAAAAUUGUGGUUACGUUAUCUUAUUAUGUUAAUGUUAAGUUUUAUUAUUAUGUUAUGUUGAUAUUAUUAUGUCGCAGCAGUCCUUGCUUGAGUACUCGGCUCGUUGGUCUUCUUAUUACAUUAUUUGCUGGAGGAAUAAGCACUCAUCAGUCAACUGGAACGAAACACUUCGUUAUUCUUAACAAAGAAACACUUGUCAUAGGGAAAACAAUCAAGUCAACACUGCCAACUAGUGCUCAUCACCGGUAUAGUAUACAAUAUGAGCGCACACGAAUGAUGCGCCUCAGUACGAGCACUUUUUCAAGAUUGUUCAAGCCCAUUAAAUGAUUGUGUGAUUUUGUAUCACAUUCUUCAAUCAUGAUUAUAAUCACAAUAAAACACUGGACACAUUUUAGGCAAAAAAAAUUUUUUUGUCAACAAACUUAUUUGUGAACAAUUUAACAAUGUCAUAUAAAAGUAUAAACAGAAGACUGCAUAUAAGAAGAAUGAGUGUAGAUCUGACACUGACACUACCUUUGGUGUAGAUGCUGAUAUUUGAAUUGAUUCGCUCACCCAAAAAGGAAACUUUUUAUUACUUUAUCUUACUCUUAAUUGGACAAUGAACAUUUCUUCAAAAAUGGCCAAAAAAACAAAAGCAAUCAUUGAUUUUUGUAUAUGUCAUAGGAGAGAGGUAUUGGUAUAACAAGCCUGUUAGCUGUAGCAGUAACAUAGGUAGAAUCCACGUUAUUGCUAUAUUGACCAUGUUUUCUAGCUGCGUUUGUGUUAUUUUCCAACGAUUGACCAGAACAGUUAACGUCAUUCAGGCUAUGCAAACAAACACAAGGUCAAAAAUACUGUGGACUUGUUUCCACACACACACACACACGCACGCACACACUCUUUCCGUUUGCUCCAGCCAUGAUCCUGCUGGGCCCCAGCCUGUGUCUUCCGUCGCAGGCCACCGUCCAGGAGCUCUUCCUCAUCGCCCGAGACGCCAAUACCAUCCCGGACAUCUCCUUGGAUCCUGUUCUCACCACCUUCCUGUCGCUGGACUCGGCGGCGGCACUGCAGCACCAGUACACCUUCUUGCAACGGGGCAUGAGCGAUGAGCAGCAGGAGGAGUUCGGCCUCCGCCUGAACAGAGAGCUGGGGGGCGGCAAGGUCAACCGCGGGGGGGUCGGCGUUGUCGCUCUGGCCCUGUCUUUGCUGCUGGACCACAUUGCCCAGCAGGUCCGACGCAACAACUCAUCAACAGAAGCCAACCGAUCGUCCCUGACAACCAAGAAGAUUUUUGGCAUCAGUGCUUCUUCAAGAAUCGGCCUGAUUACCCAAAACUAUCUCAGCCUAGUCCCUGGCAUUGCCAACGACCACGACACCAUGGCUGAGACCACAGAGAUCUACGACAACUGGCUCAAACUGGAGCUGCUGGACCAUUUCCAGAGGAUGACCUCCAAGAAGAGGAUGAGCUCCGUGUCCAUGCAGCAGUGGUUGACUGGAGCUGCUGUUCACCUACACAUGAGGAUCCACCAGGUUUCAUCAGUUAAUGCUCAAAGACGAGAUAGGACAGCUCUAAACAGACAGUGUGCACCAAAAAAUGCACACUGAGCUGGGAAGCCAAGGAAAGCGGGAACGACUGGGAAAGAUGUGGGUUUUGUAAACCAAGGUGUACAUACAUGUUCGGCUUCACUCUGUGCCACCAGGCUCAGCGGAGUCCCUUCGUUUGUCUUAUAAGACAGCAUUUAAUCGUCUGGUGCAGGGCUACACGGUCUACCUUCACAGGAACAUUCAAGAGACUGCACCUUCCACACCACAGAAUCUGAGAAA